rnacentral:rRNA from 1 species
AAUCAACGCUGGCGGCGUGCCUAACACAUGCAAGUCGAACGCGAAAGCCCUUUCGGGGGUAAGUAGAGUGGCGUCCGGGUGAGUAACACGUAGGUAAUCUACCUUCGGGUGGGGAAGUAACCAGUCGAAAGAAUUGGCUAAUAACCGCAUAAUGCAGCGGCACCUAAUGGUGAUUAGUUGUUAAAGCGGGGGAGUCGUAAGACCUCGCGCCUGAAGAGGAGCCUGCGGCAGAUUAGCUAG